rnacentral:rRNA from 1 species
AUUGAACGCUAGCGGGAUGCUUUACACAUGCAAGUCGAACGAGUGGCGCACGGGUGAGUAAUGUAUCGGACCGUGCUCUGUAACGGGGGUUAACUCCUCGAAAGAGUGGCUAAUCCGGCAUACUAUUGGAGCGGCCGAUAUCGGAUUAGCUAGUUGGUGGGGUAAAGGCUUACAAAGGCAACGAUCCAUAGCUGGUUUGAGAGGACGACCAGCCACACUGGAACUGAGACACGGCCCAGACUCCUACGGGAGGCAGCAGUGGGGAAUUUUGGGCAAUGGGCGAAACCCUGAUCCAGCCAUCCCGCGUGUAUGAGAAGGCCUUCGGGUUGUAAAGUACUUUUAGCAGAGAAGCGGUAUCUGCAGAAUAAGCACCGGCUAACUACGUGCCAGCCGCCGCGGUAAUAC